GAAUUAAUCGGAAGACGUCCGAGUGUUUAAUAUACUUCAAAGACAAUUAGGCGACUUUUAUUUAACAAGUGUUCUCGAAUUCGUGUUCAUCGUGAAAAUGAUAGUACACUCAGUAUUUUUUUAUUUCAAAUAUUUCUAUUAUUUGUCGACGGUUAAUGGACAAGCGAACGUUUGAAAAGGACUGCUUUGUUCCGAACAUUGUCCCAAAAUGUGGUCCAUUUCCGUCCUCGAGCUUUAAUUCUCGUCUUAAUAUAAAUAUUUUUUUUUUUUUGCUCUCUUGAAAAGUACAAAGCUCGGUUCGAGACAAUCGAAGAACGUAUAUUGAAUGAUAUAAAGGAAAUUUUUUUGCGCGCCUUCUGCACUCACGGACAUGGUCCAAGGACACAAGCCAUUUCGAAAGGAAAAGCGGAGUGGUUCGUGGAGUGGCGGAUAUUUAAGAACCGGAAUUAUCCCACCCCUCCGCACUCUUCUUAUAUUUAUGCGCGUUUCGACCUAUCGGCCUUCUACCUUGCUUUCGGAGCAAGCAGUUUUUAAGCGAGCGCCGGUCGAUCCACUCCUUUUACGUGCGGGUUAUUCGAAGCUUCUUACAAAAUCGAUUUUCGCAUUUAAAGAAGACCGCGGUGUCAUCUUCAAAGUUACGAGGCUGCCUGAGGAUUUAACUGUAAAGGCAAAGGAAGAAAAUUUCGAGUUUGUUCGGCUUUCGGGACGAGUCCUGGGAUCGAGCCGAUAUCAAGGACUAUUUUAUUGGCGAGGGUGUUUUAAAGAUGGCCGUUUCUAUAGCAAUGGCCGGUGAUAUUGUGGGGAUCUGGAGCAUUGGGGCAUCGACGAACAAAACCUUCUUUUGCAUAGGGUUGGCAUAGGGUUGAUUCGUAUGUCCAUUUAAAAUGGAGAAAACGAUGAUUACGUUAGACUCAUUGAACGAGUGGACGUAAUAUCUUCGUAAUUACGGAUUGGACAAUUCGUUCUUCGAACUUUGAUAUGGUACAAAUACAGAAAGAAAGGAAGAAGAAAAGCCUAUGGCGCAAAUGGAUUUCAAGCCACAGGGUGCUUUUGAAAACGAUGAAAAAGCUUCUUCUUGCGUCGUUCUCAGCUUCCGUCGUUUUUAUCCCUUCACUUUCCAUCCAACUCCCCACCCUCCACCAUACACACCCUAUCCUCCUCCGCCCACAGAUCUUAUGCUUCUUACUUUACCGAAGAACCUGCACCCUCGCCCUAUCCAUCUUAAUAUUAUUAUUUCAUUCCGCGCGGCCGUUUUUCAGAAUCUCCUUCCUCCCUUCCACCUACAACAUUGGCCCUUUCCUCUUUCGACCUAAUCGUGCGAGCGCGAAUCUUCCUUCCCUUUUGCACUAAGAAUUAUCUUCCGUCCUUUUCUUUUCUCUUCGCCGCCCACAUUCACCUCCUCGUCCUCUUCUGUCACUGGCACCCUCUACUUUCCACAGCACCAUCACUUACGGAUCAAUAGGGUAUGGAAGAUAAACGCACCUAGAUGGAGGUCGUUGGAGGGGAUGCGACCGAGCAGGGAGAAAUAAAGAGAUAAAAAAAAAAGUGAGAUAAAGCAAGGAGGAAACAUGAAAGAGAAAGAAAAUGUCAGAACGGUAGAUAUGUUAUAUUUUCGCGAUACGAGAUUUUUCUUUCGUAUAUUCGUUAAAUUUUCUUUUUCUUUUUUUUUAACUCUAGUGUUAUCAUAGAGAUUUCAAUGUUAAAAUGAGGAUACGUAAAAUAUAUUUGAAGCAUAUUUUUCGUCACUAUCCAAAGUGUCUCGUGCAGAAACGAAGGGGAAGACGGAGGCACAUUCACCGUCGCUUCUUUUAUCGAAGGAUGAGAUGGAAGGCGGUCUUUCUUUCUUCCUCUUUCUCUCUUUCUCUCUUUCUCUCUCUCUCUCUCUCUCACUCUCUCUCUCUCUCUCUUUCUUUUUCUUUCUCUCUCUCUUUCUCUUGGAAGGGGGAAAUCGUUAGGAAAGCGACAUGCAAAUUCGUUUGAAAGUUUCGUGCACCUUUUCCCACUUCCACUACCCUCUGGGCACGAAAAAAGCGGGACAAGGGUAGGCUGUGAGUUUUCAUAAGAGAUAGAGAAGUAGAGAGAAAAAGAAAGAAUAAAAGAAAAAAAGAAAAAAAAAGAAAAAAAAAGGGAAGAAGAGAAAACGGAAGAAGAAGAACAAAGGUCAUCGCAAAUAUUUCCCGCUCUUAUCUACUGACCUUUUAUCUGUCCGAUAUCGUAGCACAAAACUCGAAAAUUAAAAAUUAACAAUAGGAUAGUCGAAGAAUGAUUUUACGUAGAUUUCAAGUACGGUCGCCCCUCAAUCUCUGGGGAAAUUUCGAGCUUUCUAUUCGAAUUCUCUCUUAGUCAAGAUCAAAGCAAAAAAUUUUGUCUGAACUUCUGACGUUGUUACGAUCAUGAAUAAAAUACUCGAAUGAAAUGAUUCUUUUUUUACGUCGAAAAUGUUUUUAAAAAAUUUUUAAGCUCGUUCGAGCGUAAUUUUGCGAACAAGUUUUUUCUUUUUUUUUUGUUUUUUUUUUUUUUUUUCUUUUUUUUAACUCGUCGCUUCUAUAAUAAUAGCAAAAAAUGAUACGAAAUUUUAAGAUUCUCUCUCACUCGACACAGAUUCAACGAGUGUUAAAUAUUUUUAUUACCGAACGGAAGUAUUAUUAUCGCGUUCGCGUCCUGUUCGUUAACGUUCAGAGGAAGAAUUUCAAAAAUUCAAUGCAAUAGGUUUCCCGUUCUGUAGAUAACUGAAAUUUCUAUUUUUGCUCGUAGAUAUCUCGUUGGAAUAUUUUCGCGAUCGUGUAAUGCUUUUAAAACGUGGAUUUGUAAAAAUCUCUUCGAAAAUGGGGUAGGCAAAGUAGAAAAGAAAUAAAAAAGGGACGUGUAGGAGAGUGAAAAAAAAUGUCGAUUCGGUUGGUUUCGAAUCACUGCAAUCGCUUCCCUUUUAGCUCUUCUUUCCUUCUUUUUUUUUUUUUUUUUAUCGUCCGCGUGCCGUCGACGUAGGGGCGAAUGGCAAUAUACGAACAGAGCGAAGCCAAGCCCGUUUAAUAUCGCAGAUCGAGGCACAAAUGAAUAUUCAUUAAACACAUUUUUCCGAUUUUAAUUACAUCCCCUAAGCGGAUCUGGCCUGGGCUUACGCAGCGUUUCCCCCACUAUUUUUUCCUUCUUCCUGCGUUUUCCUCCUCUCCUCUUCGCGUAGCCCUCCUCAUCGGAAGAGAUUUCUCUUUCUACUUUCUACUUUCUCUUUCUUCGUAUCCUCGUCGUCCGCACUCUGCGUGCUCUUUAAUGAAAUCCCCGCGGACGCCAUUAUUAAUAUCACCGGUCUUAUCUUUGAACGCAAUAAAGAAUUACUUUGUUAUUAAUUCCAAUGUCCGUCUCUCCUUUUCCCUAUCAUCGAAUAAAAUUGGAAUGCCAGAGGAUCGGAUCGAAAGACUCGUCUCGAUUCGAUGAGAUACUUCUCGGUUAAGCCUACGGUAUCUGUCUCAAUUGAAUUUAAAGACAGUCGAGAGAACUAUUGCGGUGGAAGGGUGUCAUUUCGAUGACGGAUACAAAUUUUGCAUUCAUCCGUUAAUAGACCGUAAAAAACAAUUAUUUUAAUCGACAGUUAUCCUUCAUUUUAAUCUUGAUCCGGUAUAAAGUAUAAAAAAAUAAUACGAAUCAAAUCGAUAGAUAUUUUUCCUUGAAUUUGGAUUAUUUACGAUGAACUACUUAAAAUUUUUUCUAUCUCCUCUAUAACCUAUCUACGAACCUAUCUACCACCUCCUGCAUAUAUCCGAAUUUUUCUUUGUAUCGCGUCUGGCCUGCUUGGCCUCACCCCUGCGCACACAUAUGACGUGAUGGCGAAUGGCGAAUCGUGCACGCAUGCGCUCGAUAUGAUAUUUCCUUUCUCGCGACGUACGUCUCACCCCCUCGACACCAGCAGCCCCCACCCACCUGGUUCUGGAAGACGAUGGGUGGUUUGGCGAUGGUGGUAGAGUAGCGGGCACGGCUCGACAAAGUAAGGGUGUUGCCAAGGGCAACGCUAACGAGCUCCAUGAGCGACGUCAGACAGGGCAACACACUCCCAUAGCACUAUCGCCUCCUCCCUUCCUUCUACCGAGCGUCACGACAAACCCUCCUUCUCUCUCUCUCUCUCUCUUUCUCUCUCAUUUUUUUUCUCUUCAUUCUCCACCUCCUACAAACUUGCUUAUGUAUAAAUACAUCCCCUUACGCCGUUAGCAACCUCGAUAUGCGAUGUCGCGAUGUCGAGAAGUUCUCGGACUACCCUUACGAAGAGAGAACCUCUAGAUGUAGAAAGCUACAAAUAUAGUGCCCUUCUCCAUCUCUCCUCUCUAUCCACGUGAUUCUAUAUUCCUUCGAUUCGAACUCACCUUUCAUCUUCCUUCAUUUAUUUCCAUUUACUAUCUAAUCCAUCACGCUCACUCCAUUCAUCAUACAAUAUAUACAUAUAUAUAUAUAUAUAUAUAUAUAUAUAUAUAUUUAUGUAUGUAUAUAUACAUAUUAUUUUUUCGUUUGUUUAUUUUUUUUUUUUCAAAAGAAAAUUUUGUUCAUUAAUACGUUAUAGAUUGGACGUAGUAUUAUAUAGAGAGAUAGAUUAAUGUUAGAAAUAAAGAAGUUUCUAUUUUAUAAGACGUUUAAAAAGUUUUGUCUUUUCAGAAAGAGGUGUACGGUACGACAAGGGAUCACUCGGUGCGGAGGGUGAAUCACCGGGAGUUUAUUGGCCACGACGCUCUGUGGCGGAGGAGGAUUCGUCGGGGCGGGAAAGCAAUUACGUAAUCAAGUAAUUAGUCCCUGACCUCGGGUAACAGGUUCCGCCUUGCUAUUCAACCGACUUGACUUCCUCUCGAGACUCUUUCGAUUUUUCUUUCUUUCUUUUCUUUUUUUUUCUUUUUUUUUCUUUUUUUUUUUUUUUUUAUCUUGGUAUGAACCUUCCAAAGGGAAUCUAAGAAUGACGAUCUUGGCUAUGUUUAAUCAUUGUUGUUAAUUAGAACGAUAAAUAGCUUUUUUCUCAUUUUACAUUUUGUCGUUUGAUCUCUCGCUGAAUGUACUUCGAUCAAUUACAUUAUCUUUUCUCUUUCAAAUUGGACAAAAGAAAAAAAAAAAGAAGAAAAAUAAAAGAAAAAAGAAAAAAGAAAAUAAGAAAUUGGAAACACAUAUGACAUCACCAGGAUUUUAUUUUUUGCCCUCGGAAAGCCUGGAGCACGCGGGUACGAGGGUGGAAUUACGAUUGGGGUUUGGAGCAUAGAGCAAGGUAGAAAGAGGAGGUGAAGGGUAGGUAUUGCGAAGGGUAGAUAUGGGUGAACCUUACUUAUUGUCAUAUUUUAAUAUAACGACGGUGUAACAACGCUUCCACGGUUCGUAACAUUUAUUUCAAUGCCAGACGCUUCUUCAUUUUCUCUCUCUUUCUCUCUCUCUCUCUCUCUUUCUCUCUCUCUCUCUCUCUAUCUACCUAUCUAUAUAUCUAUCUAUCUAUCUAUCUCUUUUUUUUCAUCUUUUCAUCUCUAUAAAAUCAAGCUAGAUGUAAUGUAAUCUACGUUAGACAUUGUUAAAGUUGUGAUAUUUUCUAGAUUGAUAUAGCGCAUUAAAAAGAAACAGUGAAAAAUAUUUUUUCAUAAGAAAGUGAGUUUACUUUUUCAGUUGAGUCCAAUCUUUGAAAUUUUUAUAUUUUACCAUGCGAUCAAAACGAAUUUUAAACUUCAAUAAGUAUAUAAAUAAUUAUUGUUGGGAAUAAAUUAUCCGCCGGCUUUUCGAUGCUUUUUGAAGAACGUGCAGCACCCACCGACGACUUGCACCUGGAAGAAAUGAAGAGGAUUGAAAGAACGGAGAUACCCUCGCAGUCAAGGAGGAAUGAUCAACGAGGAGGACGAAUCACUAGGCGGUGGAGUAUUCUUUCUCGAUCAUUGUAGAUGGCACAAAGCAUCGUCCUCUUUUUCUUUCUUCUUACUCUCGUUCUCUCUCUCUCUCUCUCUCUCUCUCUUUCUUUCUUUCUUAUUCUUUCUUACUCUUCCAUUCUCUGUUUCAUUCUCUUCUGUAUCAGUUUUCCCUCUUGCCAUCUCCACCCUGCUGGAUAAUGCCGGCCUGGAAAUAAUAAUGCCUCCGCGCAAAGCACAAUGCGACAUUUUCUCUUGUUAAAUUAUCUCUGUGUCGCACUUUUUUGAGUCCCUUUUUCGUUCCAGCCGAUUCAUCAUUCUCGUCUUAUCCAGUCUUCAUCUUCUCCCCGUCUUUUCUUUAUCAUUUUUCUUCAUCGUUAUUCGAAGCGGCUCAUAUUUCAUAUGUAGAUCAUAAUUAUUUUUACUUCUGCUAAAUCCUCAUAUGUGUAUAUAUAUAUAAAAUGUAUGUAUAUAGAUAUAUAUGUAUUGAACAAAAAGAAAAAAAUAAAAAAUAAUGAAUUCGUAUUACGAAAUUUAUGGUAAAUAAAAAUAACAGUAGGUAUAAUGCGUUCGAAAUGUUAUUGUUCGACGAAGUAAGCGUAGUGCUUUUAAAAUUCAAUUCCUAUAAUGCGGAAGGAAUACCUAUCUACCAUUGAUGGUACUCAUAGCAGCGGUAACGGUAACACCCACAAGUCCAAACUCUAAGUUCCUUCUGUUUAACCGAUGGGUAGGGUGACUGAUACAGUCUAUACCGCAAACGCGUCCAAACAAACUCAGACUGAGAGAUUUAAGGAGCCUCACGUUUUGAGGGAUUUGAAAAACAGCUUCCAUCCCUCGUUGAGUCCAAUUGAAAUCCUUUGAAAAAAUUUCGGCUAGAAUGAAAAUAUAUCGUCGAAUUCGAAGGGAUCGAAAGAUUCUAAUGUUUACGAUUUCUUUUGGCUCUGUAAAUUUAAAAUAUCAAAUUUUUUCGAUAUAUCUUCUCAAUUAUUUUUUACGAUAUAUUAUAUUUAAUUCAAGAAAAAUCAAUAUCUAUAAUUAAAAUAUUAUGUGAUAGGCGACGCCAAUGCUCCAAGGGGAAACUAUUAUCUCUACAGCAAGCAUGAUAUCACGGGAACGAAUAUGUAAAAAAUAAAAUGGAACAGAAACGCAUGGAAUUCAAAAAGAAAGGAACAUUUGAACGAAUUCGUGAUCGUUAUCGAGUUUUCGAUAUUUUUACAAAGAGAGGUUUAAACUCGUGUGAGGAAACACGUACUACGGCUUGUCGUAAAAUAAUCCCCUAUACCGGCUUAUUGAUCAGAUCACAAGUCGUUGGAGCACACCAACCCUCCCCUUUAGUCCACCCCUCUCUUCCGCCGUUGCCGCCGCCUCCUUGCCACAGGGAACAGGGCAUUUUUAUUCGUGCAGUUUCACCCCCGUCGUUCCUUCCACUUCGGCUUUUCCUACCCCUCCUGUCUCUCGCUUGGCGACACGGGGGUGGUAAAGUCGUGGGAGCGCCAUUUUUUAUUUUACCUACGUCGAGCUACAGUCGCAUGGAGAUUCAUUAAUAACAAGCUGCCGCGGUUCCUACGAGGAUUAGAGACAGACUGGAGAAUGAGGAGUGACGGAGUGAUAGAAAGAGAGAAAUGUCUGUUCAAAUCAAUUUUCCGACGAAUAUCGGAGGAAAAAGAGAAGUAAUUCGCACGGUACACCGGAGUCGACUUUGUGAAAUAUCAAAACGUUCUUCCAUGCCUGUGUAAAUAACGAUAGGAAUGCAAAAGUGAUAUGAGAAAUUCUUAUUCCUCUAUAAGAGAAAGAAUACGAAAUAGAUAUAUAACAACGUGCGACUAACGUAAAUAAAUUAUCGUCGAAAUUUAUAUCCCAAUGUUAUUAUUUCUAAUAUCAAAAUGGCGACUAGGAAGAGCAAGUGCGAAUCGUCGAAUAUGAUUUAAAGAAAUUCAGUAGUAGGAGUUUUUAUUAUGCGCCAACAUAUAUUACUCUCUCUCUUUCUCUCUCUUUCUCUCUCUCUCCACCCUCCCAUCUUCCUCUUUUCAUCUUUUUCGCUCCACCUCCCCCGCCGGCACUUUUAUUCGAGCGGUCCUCAAGGUUGGUCCUCGUUCAGUGAUGCCCGGAGGGUGAGUUCCUGCUCCUGCGACGAAGAAAGAGAAGUUUUGGUCUUCCAUCGGAGACGGGAAAAACGAGAGCCCGAGGAGGAUGAAGCAUAGCUGGUGGGGGUCGGUUAAAUAAGGAACAGAAAUAAAUAGGAAGGGAAGAAAAGAGCUCGUUAGAGGGUCUCCGCGAGUUUCUGAGUACCCAACUACCCUCCGACCGAA